rnacentral:rRNA from 1 species
CCUACGGGAGGCAGCAGUGGGGAAUAUUGGGCAAUGGGCGCAAGCCUGACCCAGCAACGCAGCGUGAAGGAAGAAGGCUUUCGGGUUGUAAACUUCUUUUCUGAGGGACGAAGAAAGUGACGGUACCUCAGGAAUAAGCCACGGCUAACUACGUGCCAGCAGCCGCGGUAAUACGUAGGUGUCAAGCGUUAUCAGGAUUUAUUGGGUGUAAAGGGCGUGUAGGCGGGAAAUCAAGUCAGAUGUGAAAACUGAGGGCUCAACCCUGAGCCUGCAUUUGAAACUGUUAUUCUUGAGUGCUGGAGAGGUAAUCGGAAUUCCGGGUGUAGCGGUGAAAUGCGUAGAUAUAAGGAGGAACACCAGUGGCGAAGGCGGAUUGCUGGACAGUAACUGACGCUGAGGCGCGAAAGCGUGGGGAGCAAACAGGAUUAGAUACCCUAGUAGUC